rnacentral:tRNA from 2 species
GGAGAGGUCGCAUAGUUGGUCUAGUGCGUUCGCUUGGAAAGCGGAUAUUGUCGUAAGGCAAUCGCGGGUUCGAAUCCCGCCCUCUCCG